UUUCCGUAGGUGAACCUGCGGAAGGAUCAUUAAUAAAUGGUCUACGUUUUUUAAGUAGACGCUUAAUAAUCCUACCCUUUGUGAAUUUGUUUGUUUGAAAUAAUUUUUUUUAAAAUUAUUGAAUGUCUUUCCCUGUUGGAUUGGUUGUCUUUAAUGGCAAGUGAUUCGCAGGGGAGUGUCAAUAAUUUUUAAAAAGACCUUUUUUUAAAAUUAAACUUUUGUAUUCAUUUGUCUAAAAAUUAUUUUUAUAAUAUAAAAACAACUUUUGACAAUGGAUCUCUUGGUUCUCGCAACGAUGAAGAACGCAGCAAAAUGCGAUAAGUAGUGUGAAUUGCAGAAUACGUGAAUCAUCGAAUCUUCGAACGCAUAUUGCACUUUUUUAGUUUACUAAAAAAGUAUGUCUGUUUGAGUAUCAGUAAAAUAUUCUCAUAAAAAACAUUGUUUUUUAUGGUUAUGAGUGUUUUACAACGAUACAAGUUGUUUCACUUUAAAUUUUUUUAAAAUUUGAAUUUUUCUAAUUUUAAAAUAAAAUUGGAUAAAAUUUUCCCGUAAAAAGGAAUAACCUAAACAAUUUUAAUUUUUGAUUAGAAAAUCCAAACUAAAAGGAAAAUUUAACUAAAUAACUUGAUCUCAAAUCAGAUAAGAGUACCCGCUGAACUUAAGCAUAUCAAUAAGCGGAGGAAAAGAAACUAACAAGGAUUCCCUUAGUAACGGCGAGUGAAGCGGGAAGAGCUCAAAUUUGAAAUCUUCAAGGUUUUACCUUGACGAAUUGUAGUUUAAAGAAGUGUUUUCUGUUGAAGUUUUGGUAAAAGUUCUUUGGAAUAGGACAUCAUAGAGGGUGAGAAUCCCGUAUUUGACCAUUAUUUUCAGCUGUGUGAUACACUCUCAAAGAGUCGGAUUGUUUGGGAAUGCAGUCCAAAAUGGGUGGUAAAUUUCAUCUAAAGCUAAAUAUUGGCGAGAGACCGAUAGCGAACAAGUACCGUGAGGGAAAGAUGAAAAGAACUUUGAAAAGAGAGUUAAACAGUACGUGAAAUUGUCAAAAGGGAAGCGUUUGACACCAGUGUUGUUUUCUCGAAAAUCAAUUAAAAAAAGUUGGAUUUUGUGUUGUAUUGACCUUAACAGCUUGCUUCACUCUUUUCCUGCUUUUUUUAAUGCACUUUUCGUUUAACAAGUCAACAUCAGUUUCUUUUGUUGUAAAAGGGUCAUUGGAAGGUGGCUUUCUCUUCGGAGAAAGUGUUUAUAGCCUUUGAUCUCUGCAAUCGGAGAGACUGAGGUCUGCAGCGUAGAUCCUUCGGGGUUAGAUACAUUUGUGCUAAGCUACAGCUUUUCAUAGACAACUUGUUGACUAUGUUUAGUCUUGUGACUUACCCGCUUAUGCUAUUUUACCUACGCUUAGGAUGU
rnacentral:misc_RNA from 1 species